AGGGGGGACGGAGAAGGCUAUGUUGGCCGGGCGACGGUUGUCCCGGUUUAAGCGUGUAGGCUGGUUUUCCAGGCAAAUCCGGAAAACCAAGGCUGAGGCGUGAUGACGAGGCACUACGGUGCUGAAGUGACAAAUGCCCUGCUUCCAGGAAAAGCCUCUAAGCAUCAGGUAACAUCAAAUCGUACCCCAAACCGACACAGGUGGUCAGGUAGAGAAUACCAAGGCGCUUGAGAGAACUCGGGUGAAGGAACUAGG
rnacentral:rRNA from 1 species